rnacentral:rRNA from 10 species
UGACCUCGGAUCAGGUAGGAAUACCCGCUGAACUUAAGCAUAUCAAUAA